CAGCUUUUCAUGAUGCGAUAGUACGUCUCGCAACACUGCCGACUUUGUUGUGAUCGGCCAAGCGCGCGGCAAGUGGGCAUCCAUUUUGGAGAAAACGAGAAAAACGAUUUCGGCUCAAAUUGUGUUUGCUUUUGAAGGAUAACUGAACGUGUAAGCGGAGAUCCCGGCUUCGUAUAGUUCCAGCAGGCACCAUUUCAAAUACCAAGUCGCCGACGAAUCAACAUCUUGGUUUGUAAAUCCGGCCGAACCUAUUACUAUGUGCUAUUACGAUCUUGAUUGAUCUUGGCCAAGUGUGAUACCAGCUACGGAUAAAUCACUCCCAAAAAAUCACCAGAAGAACCACAUUCCAAUAUGACAACCCCCAAAACUAAGCGCGACAGGUGCCACAUCGGUUCCGGCGGUGUUUGCAACCGGCGGAGGGCGGUGUUAGCCACGAAAUCCAUCGCCACCACAGGACCCAGUGUGCCGUAUCCGUAUCCAACACCACCGCCAUCACCGUAAUCACAUCCAGCCAGAAAAAUCGAUCUGAUAUGCCAAGCGCUGCUGAUCGUCAGUGGGGGACAGGAGGAUGGUCAAUUUGCGAGGACUUGGACGCUCUGAAGGACUCUGAAGUAGACGUGAACUCCGGCAAAGGCAAAUCAUGAUCCCGUGCAACAGAAUAACAGAUAUCUGAGUCGCAGCUGGCUUGCAGGACCGGACAUCAACCUCCUUCACAAUGGAGCUUAGAGUCCUUCUCUAGCACUCGGACGUCGAUCAGCCGAACAAUGUGGAUAACAGACGCUGUUCUGUGCCGUUUCGUUUUGAGAGCUCUUCUGAUUAUAUCCAGUGGUACAGGAAGCGGUCUUCUCCGGCGAUGCCAACAUCCCCACCAUCUGGAGGUCCGGCAGUGCCACUUCAAAUGAUUAUCGCACGUCUCGCAGCUGAUACAGCACCUCCAGGACACGCCGACUUCUACGUUGAGAAAUCAUCAGCUGGGUACCGUGGGAAUUCAUCAGCUGGGUACCGUCGAUUUGUCGUGUCUACCCAAGCGAUACCAACAAAAUGUACAAACGGGAGUCGAACGUUUACGGAUCGACACCACGCUGCUGGGGUUUGAUAUGCGGAAAUAGGAGCUACAGUUUUGAAAACCAGUCGGAGUCGGCUACCAUGAUCGACUAAGGAAGCAAUGUCGAAUUUAGAACCCGUCCUCAUGUGUCACCAUGCAGCUUUCGCGGGAUUCCCCGUUAAGACCGAGAUCCUGCUUUUCCACGUAAUGAACGCGAUCCUCUAAUAUUUGGAAACGAGUUCGCGAUAAAAGCGCAGCAGUCUGCAAGAGAGCGAGGAGCGCACC